GGCUGAAUAGCUCAGUGAUAGAGCACUUGGCCUAGCAAAUGCAAGACCCUGGGAUCUAUCCCCAGUUCUGCCC
rnacentral:tRNA from 1 species